rnacentral:rRNA from 1 species
UACAGAGGGUGCAAGCGUUGUUCGGAAUUACUGGGCGUAAAGGGCGCGUAGGCGGCCUGUUAAGUCGAACGUGAAAUCCCCGGGCUCAACCCGGGAACUGCGUCCGAUACUGGCAGGCUUGAAUUCGGGAGAGGGAUGUGGAAUUCCAGGUGUAGCGGUGAAAUGCGUAGAUAUCUGGAGGAACACCGGUGGCGAAGGCGGCAUCCUGGACCGAUAUUGACGCUGAUGCGCGAAAGCCAGGGGAGCAAACGGG